GAAAAUAUGCUUUUUUUAAGGGAAUAUUCAGCCUGUGCAAGAUAUAAGCUCAGUUAAUUCAAGUUUUAAAUUCUGUGUAAGUGCGGUCCACUACACUCCCUCUGGGUCAUUGAUAUCACAGUAAGACUUACGAGUAGCUUUUGCAAGCAACCUACGAAGAAUUUUAUUUUUCUCUCUUUCUCUGUCCCCCUCCUUCUCCUUCUCUGACACACACGCACACACGCACUCCUAGGUCCCAUAUGAUUUCUGCUUCCAUGCUACACUCAUUUCUGCUGUUAAUGGUGCUAUGAUAUUUGCUGUCCAUGGUGCUGUGCAGUUGACCUCUCAUCCCUAGCAGUGCAGACUCCUGUUCUUAGCGGGGCCAGGCACACCACUUGCAGCAUUCUACCUUGCACUGGCUCUUGUUUCCCUUCAGCACUUCCCACCCUCAGUCAUACUUUGUGACAUCAGAGAGGUUCUCCAUCUUUUCUCCGUUGGCUCAUCUAAUGAAGAUUCCAUCCACAUCCAUUCACCUUCUCCUCAUACACCCCUUUCAAGCUCUACUUCUUUGACAAUUUCUAUGCUCCAUCAUUCAUGUGCAACAAAGCCUAGAGGAGAAGUUAUUGUCAUCUCCUAUUUCCAGAAAUACCUUCAAAUUCCAGGGGGUGCUGUUGCUAUAGAAGAUACUUUUAUGGACAUGGAGGUUAGUGCUAUGACUCCCCACAGGAAGAUGUCUUACUGAGGAGAAUUGGGUCUCAACAGGACUGCUACAUUGCACAAAACCAGAAGCUCAACUGAACCAUUAAAAUGGCAUGGCAUGGAAGAACACCUGAAUUCAGAAAUAUGACCAAAAGUGGUGUGAAAUAAAACCAAUAAAAUCCAUCAAGACAUCACAAAGCAUGUAUUCUGGGCUAUGAAGCCGGACAUUUCCCCUCAGUUGUAGAGAAAUUAAACUGAGCCACUUACAAUAAGAGCAAAGCUAGCAAUUCACACAUAUGCUGUGAAAUAAUGGCUGGGAGUUCCUUUUUGGUAUUCAACUGCCUUCUAAUGCAUCCUAG
rnacentral:lncRNA from 1 species